rnacentral:rRNA from 1 species
UUAUCUGAACCUUCGGGGAACGAUAACGGCGUCGAGCGGCGGACGGGUGAGUAAUGCCUAGGAAAUUGCCCUGAUGUGGGGGAUAACCAUUGGAAACGAUGGCUAAUACCGCAUGAUGCCUACGGGCCAAAGAGGGGGACCUUCGGGCCUCUCGCGUCAGGAUAUGCCUAGGUGGGAUUAGCUAGUUGGUGAGGUAAGGGCUCACCAAGGCGACGAUCCCUAGCUGGUCUGAGAGGAUGAUCAGCCACACUGGAACUGAGACACGGUCCAGACUCCUACGGGAGGCAGCAGUGGGGAAUAUUGCACAAUGGGCGCAAGCCUGAUGCAGCCAUGCCGCGUGUAUGAAGAAGGCCUUCGGGUUGUAAAGUACUUUCAGUCGUGAGGAAGGCGGCGUCGUUAAUAGCGGCGUUGUUUGACGUUAGCGACAGAAGAAGCACCGGCUAACUCCGUGCCAGCAGCCGCGGUAAUACGGAGGGUGCGAGCGUUAAUCGGAAUUACUGGGCGUAAAGCGCAUGCAGGUGGUUUGUUAAGUCAGAUGUGAAAGCCCGGGGCUCAACCUCGGAAUAGCAUUUGAAACUGGCAGACUAGAGUACUGUAG